rnacentral:rRNA from 1 species
UGGGGAAUAUUGGACAAUGGAGGCAACUCUGAUCCAGCAAUUCUGUGUGUGUGAAGAAGGUUUUAGGACUGUAAAACACUUUUAGUAGGGAAGAAAAAAAUGACGGUACCUACAGAAGAAGCGACGGCUAAAUACGUGCCAGCAGCCGCGGUAAUACGUAUGUCGCGAGCGUUAUCCGGAAUUAUUGGGCUUAAAGGGCAUCUAGGCGGUAAGACAAGUUGAAGGUGAAAACCUGUGGCUCAACCAUAGGCUUGCCUACAAAACUGUUGAACUAGAGUACUGGAAAGGUGGGUGGAACUACACGAGUAGAGGUGAAAUUCGUAGAUAUGUGUAGGAAUGCCGAUGAUGAAGAUAACUCACUGGACAGAAACUGACGCUGAAGUGCGAAAGCUAGGGGAGCAAACAGG